rnacentral:ncRNA from 1 species
UAGAAGAACUAAAUGAAAAAAAAAAAAAAAUGUCCCUAUCUACUAUCUAGCGAAACCACUGCCAAGGGAACGGGCUUGGGAAAAUUAGCGGGGAAAGAAGACACUGUUGAGCUUGACUCUAGUCUGGCACUGUAAGGAGACAUGAGAGGUGUAGCAUAAGUGGGAGAUGGCAACAUCGCCGGUAAAAUAUCACUACUUUCAUCGUUUCCGUACUUACUCGGUUGGGCGGAAAGCGUGCUCCGAGGGCUUCGUGCUCCGGCGGUAACGGUGUUCUAGAACCAAGUGUGUCAGAGUGGCGAGAGGCCUAGGCCGAUCGCCGUUAAUACUCCCGCGUGAUCCGAUUUGAGGACACUGCCAGGCGGGGAGUUUGACUGGGGCAGUACAUCAAUCACAGAAUAACGCAGGUGUCAUAAGGCCAGCUCAGCGAGGACAGAAACCUCGCGUAGAGCAAAAGGGCAAAAGCUGGCUUGAUCUCGAAGUUCAGUACGCAUAGAGACUGCGAAAGCACGGCCUAUCGAUCCUUUUGGUUUGAAGAGUUUUCAGCAAGAGGUGUCAGAAAAGUUACCACAGGGAUAACUGCCUUGUGGCGGCCAAGCGUUCAUAGCGACGUCGCUUUUGAUCUUCGAUGUCGGCUCUUCCUAUCAUU